AUUGAACGCUGGCGGCAUGCUUUACACAUGCAAGUCGAACGGCAGCGCGGGCUUCGGCCUGGCGGCGAGGGGCGGACGGGUGAGUAAUACAUGGGAACGUGGCCAGCAGUGUGGGAGAGCUGGGCGAAAGCGGGAUUAAUACCGCAAUAGACCUGAGGAUGAAAGCGGGGGAGCUUCGGACCUCGGGCCCUUGGAGGGGCCGAUGGCGGAUUAGCGGGUUGGUGGGGUAAAGGCCUACCAAGGCGACGAUGGGUAGCUGGUCUGAGAGGAUGACCAGCCACACUGGAACUGAGACACGGCCCAGACUCCUACGGGAGGCAGCAGUGGGGAAUUUUGGACAAUGGGCGAAAGCCUGAUCCAGCAAUGCCGCGUGUGUGAUGAAGGCCUUCGGGUUGUAAAGCACUUUUGGCGGGAACGAAAAGGACUGUGCCAAUACCACGGUUCGAUGACGGUACCCGAAGAAUAAGCACCGGCUAACUACGUG
rnacentral:rRNA from 1 species